ensembl:lncRNA
UGUCCCCAGCUCUCAGCCAUCCCCAGCAGUCCCCAGCCAUCCCUGGUUGUCCUCAGCAGCUUGUCCCCAACCUGUCCCCCGGUGUCCCCAGCUCUCAGCCGUCCCAGUUGUCCCCAGCUGUCCCAGUUGUUGUCCCCAGCUGGCAGUCCCUGAUUGCUCUCCACCAUUCCCAGCCGUCCCCCAGGUUGUCCCCAGCCACCCCCAGGUGUCCCCAGCCCGUCCCCACAAGUCCCCAGUUGUCCUUCAGCUCUCAACCAUCCCUGUUUGUCCCCAACAGUCUCCCGGUGUCCCCAGCCAUUCCCAGAUGUCCCCAGCUGUCCCCAGCUCUCAACCAUCCCCAGCUGUCCCUCAAAUGUCUCUAAUUGUCCCCAAGCAUCCUAGAAGUCCCUAAUUGCCCUCAACCAUCACCAGCCUAUCCCCAGUUGUCCCCAACCUGUCCCCAGUGCUCAACCAUCCCCAGUUGUCCCUAAUUGUCCCCAGUUGUCCCCAACCAUCCCGUUGUCCCCAACCAUCCCUCAACUAUCCCUCACCACCCCCAGUUGUCCCCAACUGUCCCUAAUUGUCCCCAUCUCCAACCAACCCCAGUUGUCCCAGUUAUCCCCAACCAUCCCUAAUUGUCCCCAGUUGUCCCCACUGUCCCCAGCUGUCCCCUCCCUCUGCCCUCCCUUUCCCUCCAGGUCUGGGCACCCUAUGGGGACGGUGCCCCUUGGGGACAUCCCUCCUUGGGGACACCGUGCUGAGCUGUCCCCAUUCCCUUCCGUCCCUGCUGUCACCCGCAGCCCCCCGGCCUCAACCUGGACCUGGAGGGGCUGACGCUGCCCGAGGCCACCGGCGAGCAGUGCCGCGUGAUGGGACGUCACUUUGGGGGCAGGAGGGGCCGGGCCCCGGGCUGGGGGGGACGCUCCUGUCCCCAACCCCGCAGCGCUGUCCCCACGCACGGGGACACCCCGCGGGCGGCGGGCGGCCGCCACGGCCCCAAUAAAGGUGAUGGCAACCGCGGCUCUGCCCCCCAGCAAAGCUCGUGCGGCCCUACAACAACGUGGGGUGACCCUACAAUAACACAGCGGGGGCAUGGGACCCUACAAUAACACGGGGGGGAUGUGACCCUACAAUAACAUGGGGGGGGCAUGGGACCCUACAAUAACACGGGGGGGCAUGGGACCCUACAAUAACACGGGGGGGCAUGGGACCCUACAGUAAAUAACACAGUGGGGGCAUGGGACCCUACAAUAACAUGGGGGGGAUGUGACCCUACAAUAACAUGGGGGGGCAUGGGACCCUACAAUAACACAGGGGGGGAUGGGACCCUACAAUAACACGGGGGGGGAUGUGACCCUACAAUAAUACAGUGGGGGCAUGGGACCCUACAAUAACACGGGGGGGAUGUGACCCUACAAUAACACAGCGGGGGCAUGGGACCCUACAAUAACACAGGGGGGGAUGUGACCCUACAAUAACUCGGGGGGGAUGUGACCCUACAAUAACACAGUGGGGGCAUGGGACCCUUCAAUAACAUGGGGUGGCCCUACAGUAAUGCAGGUGGGGAAUGUGACCCUACAAUGACACGGGGUGACCCUACAAUAACGCAGUGGUGUCCAUGGGGUGUCCUGACAGUAACACAGAUAGGGAAUGUGACCCUACAACAACACAGUGGGGGCAUGGGACCCUACAAUAACACGGAGGGGGAUGUGACCCUACAAUAACACAGCAGGGGCAUGGGACCCUACAAUAACAUGAGGGGGAUGGGACCCUACAAUAACACAGUGGGGGAAUGGGACCUUACAAUGACAUGACAUGGGGUGACCCUACAAUAACGCAGUGGUGUCCAUGGGGCGUCCUGACAGUAACACAGAUAGGGAAUGUGACCCUACAAUAACAUGGGAUGAUCUUAGGAUAACGGAGGAGGACAUGGGGUGACCCUACAAUAACAUGGCAGGGAUGGGACUCUGUGAUGACAUGGAGUGACCCUACAAUAACACAGGGGGGAAAUGAGAGACCCUACAAUAACGCAGGUGGGGGAUGUGACCCUACAAUAAGAUGGGGUGACCCUACAAUAACACAAGGAGGGCCAUGGGUGACCCUACAAUA